rnacentral:ncRNA from 1 species
UUCCCAUUAACGAGAGUGGACGAGCACAAGGAAGAAGACGGAUCCCAUUAGUUCAUGUGAAGUAGUCUCCUUUGAGCUAUGAAAAUGAGCCACGGCGCAGAACCACGUUCAUAUGGAUCACUCGGUGAGGAUUGCAAUUUUUCCACACCGCCUAGACGUCCUACGGGAGGCAGUAGCGGGGGAUUUUCUGUAAUGGGCGAAAGCCUGACAAAGCAUUGCUACGUGGAGGUAGGAGGCCCACAGCUCGUGAACUUCUUUUCUCGGAGAAGAAGCAACGAUAAUAUUUGGGAAAUAAGCAAGCAUCGGCUAAAUUUGUGCCAACAGCUACGGUAAUACAAAGAAGGCAAGCGUUAUCCGGAAUGAUAGGGCGUAAAGUGUGUGUGGGUGGCUUUUUAAGUCCACCAUCAAAUCUCAAGUCUGAACCUUGGAAUCGAUGGAAACUACCGAGCUGGAGUACAAUAGGGGCAGAGGGAAUUUUCGGUGGAGUGGUGAAAUGUGUAAAGAUUGAAAAGAAUAUCAACAGCGAAAGCACUCUACUGGGCCGACACUAAUAUUGAGAGGCAAAAAUGAGAGGCAAAAAUUAGGGGGUGAACGUGAUUAGAUACCCUAAUAGUCCUAACUUUAAACGAUGGAUACUGGGUAUUGUGUGUAUUGACCCGUUUAAUGCUGUAGCUAACGCAUUAAGUAUUUUGUU